rnacentral:rRNA from 1 species
CCUACGGGAGGCAGCAGUAGGGAAUCUUCCGCAAUGGACGAAAGUCUGACGGAGCAACGCCGCGUGAGUGAUGAAGGCUUUCGGGUCGUAAAACUCUGUUGUUAGGGAAGAACAAGUGCUAGUUGAAUAAGCUGGCACCUUGACGGUACCUAACCAGAAAGCCACGGCUAACUACGUGCCAGCAGCCGCGGUAAUACGUAGGUGGCAAGCGUUAUCCGGAAUUAUUGGGCGUAAAGCGCGCGCAGGUGGUUUCUUAAGUCUGAUGUGAAAGCCCACGGCUCAACCGUGGAGGGUCAUUGGAAACUGGGAGACUUGAGUGCAGAAGAGGAAAGUGGAAUUCCAUGUGUAGCGGUGAAAUGCGUAGAGAUAUGGAGGAACACCAGUGGCGAAGGCGACUUUCUGGUCUGUAACUGACACUGAGGCGCGAAAGCGUGGGGAGCAAACAGGAUUAGAUACCUGGGUAGUC